rnacentral:lncRNA from 1 species
UUAAAAACUGAACGUCACGAUAAAUCAAGAUAAGCAAGCUUUUAAGAUUUAACACUACACUAAACCGCACGGAGUUUAAACUAAUGAAUCACAUUCGAGGGCUCUAUCAUAUUGGAAUGGAAGUAUAUGAAACGCCGAAACGCAUCACACAGACACACACCGCUACUUGCACAGAUGCCAGCUGGUCUACUCUAACGCAUCACUGGCUAAUCCAAUAAGUGUUGCCAAUUCCCAUGAGCGUCUCUGUCUUUGCUCAGACACGGUUCGAAGAGGCUUCGCAGCUCUGAAUCUUACUUACCGAGGCCCCGGGCAGCAACAUCGGUGGCCACCAGGAUCGGAGCUCUACCACUGCGGAACUCCUGCAACACGUGGUCCCUUUCUUGCUGUUCCGAUCUCUUGAAGCAGUCUGAACAGCUUGACAUCCUUCUCAAAUUCCUGGCAGACGUCGACGAUUUGAACGAUGUUGUGGUUGGCAGAGAGAGUCAAGGAGCCGAUGUUAAGGAAAUCUAUCAGUCUGCCUGGAGUGGCGAUGCAUAUUUCCACUCCUCGUUCCAAGUCUUGAGCCUGGGGUCCCUUCGGAGCUCCUCCAAAGAUACAGGUGUUCCUGACGGAAGCUUGUUCGCCGAAACAAUUGGCCA